ensembl:lncRNA
GCGGGCGACCGUCCUUGUGACUGGACAACGUGGGAGAAGCAUCUCCAUGUGCACAGCCAUCACUGACGAUGGUAUCGUAGCACGUAGGCCAUUACUUGGAUCCUGUAAUGCUGUGCACCCCAUUGUGUUUCUCAAUUAAAUUGAGCAGGCCUGUCAAGGUGAAGGUUGUCACCUAUGUCAUUGUGUGGGACAGUGUCAGGUUCCACCAUGCAGAGGUUUUUCAAGAAUGGUUUAAGGCCCUUCCCCAAUUCUUGACCCUAUACCUGCCCCCAUACAUUCCUUUCCUCAACCCUAUUUUUUCAGCACAGAGGUGGAAUGUGUUUACGAUCACCAUGAGCGUGCCACCCUACUUCUGGCCAUGGAUGAGGCACACAACCUCAAACUUGGAUUCAACAUGCCAAAAGGUUUUUCCCGCGGUGCAUAAACAAUGACAUUCACUGUGACAUUCAUUUAAUUAGUUGUGACAUUCGUUUCAUUUAAUUUCUCACAUUUGACUACAGGCAGUACACCUAUAUGUUGCAAUUAUAUCUGAAUUUUUUUUUUUUUUGCAUGAGUGAUUGUAGAGGAUGUCUUCAUUGAAAUCACCUUCGAUUACACAUUGCAUAGAUAUUAUGGAAAUUAUAGAUUUUCUGUACAUUUUGUUUGGUAAUGUAAGUGUAUUGCCUAAAGUGAAAACUGUAAUGUAUAGUACUGUAGCAUGUUACUUUCAGCACUUCUAAGAGCGAUUUCAAACGUGUAUCUUGCAUUGUUUGCUAUUGGAUUAACUGGUAGUUAAAACUACUUGAAAAUAUAUCAUUAUUUUUUGUUUCGGUGAUUAAACCAAUGUUCUCAUUACAUUUCACAACUUAUAUUUUCAAUCCAUGGUAGUUUGGUGAGAGAUGUUUACAAUCCAAAUGAAUGCACAAUGACAGGUUUUUAAUGAAAGCUUGGCUGCCUUACGUGUGACCAGUUUGGAGUUUUGUACUAAGAGUUAUGAAAAUGUACCACAUACAGUGCGUUCGGAAAGUAAAUCAUACUCCUUGACAUUUUCCACAUUUUGUU